rnacentral:rRNA from 1 species
AUGGAUGUCAGGGAGAUCAUGAAGAUACGCACAUCUCCAAGGAACGGGCAGGAUUUCAUCGCUUGGGCCCCAGAGCGGUCUGGACAGUUCACUGUGCGUAGUGCUUAUCAUCUAGCAACGGAAGUCCAGCACUCCAUGCGGCUCAGCUCGUCAAGUAGUAAUUCUUCAGGUCGGAGGCCCAUUUGGCAGCGGAUUUGGAGCUCUAAAGUGCCCCUAAAGAUGAGAAUUAUGGCCUGGAAGGUUGUCUCCGAAGCUUUAGCUACAAAUGAAUGCAAGAAGUAUCGUCACAUAUCUACUAGGGAUAGCUGUCGGGUGUGUGGCCGAGAAAAGGAGACUAGCUUUCAUGCUCUAGUGUCAUGUGAGCAUGCGCAGAGGAUAUGGGCUCAGAUGAGAACUGUUUGGCGUCUACCGAGCCAGGAGCUCCUUCAUGAUACCGGGAAGGAAUGGCUUUUAAACGUCCCGGCAAACUGCGAUGAUCACAUGCGGGAUUGCACGAUCAUGUUGAUAUGGAGGAUUUGGUCGCGACGAUCGGACCUUACACACGGAAAGGAUGCUUCGUCCGUAACGGCAACGUCGGAUUACCUUCAAAGUUAUAUGAAUUCCUUGAACCUGUGUGGUACUUUCUCCACGGAUGAUAUUCUCAAAGGGAAAAUGCCAGCGGUCCGGGAUGCAAACGCCGAGGUACCUGCCCCGCCAAUACCUCUUCACUGGCCGCGGCUGCCCACGGGAUGGGCUGCGCUUUCGGUGGAUGGUGCCUUCAUGCAAGAGGACGGGUCGGCGGCAGCAGGUAUGAUACUUCGGAAUCAUGAGGGUGGUGUGAUCUUCGCGGCAUACAGAUGCAUCUUCAACUGUAACGACGCGCUGGAAGCGGAACUACAUGCAAUAAUGCAGGGUAUGGCCUUGGCCCUGCAGCACUCAUCCUUGCCAAUUGUGGUUCAGUCAGACUCAUCUACGGCACUAGCUGCAAUGACCGGGGACAGCUUGUCCAGGUCUGUUUAUGGGCAUUUG